CCGAGUCUUAACUGGGCGUUAAGUUGCAGGGUAUAGACCCGAAACCCGGUGAUCUAGCCAUGGGCAGGUUGAAGGUUGGGUAACACUAACUGGAGGACCGAACCGACUAAUGUUGAAAAAUUAGCGGAUGACUUGUGGCUGGGGGUGAAAGGCCAAUCAAACCGGGAGAUAGCUGGUUCUCCCCGAAAGCUAUUUAGGUAGCGCCUCGUGAAUUCAUCUCCGGGGGUAGAGCACUGUUUCGGCAAGGGGGUCAUCCCGACUUACCAACCCGAUGCAAACUGCGAAUACCGGAGAAUGUUAUCACGGGAGACACACGGCGGGUGCUAACGUCCGUCGUGAAGAGGGAAACAACCCAGACCGCCAGCUAAGGUCCCAAAGUCAUGGUUAAGUGGGAAACGAUGUGGGAAGGCCCAGACAGCCAG
rnacentral:rRNA from 1 species